GAGAGGUCUAGAAGCAGGCCAUCAGAGUGGGAGCAACAGCUCACCCUCAUCAAGACUCAUUCUUCCACCUUCCCUCUACAUCCUCCUGACUUAGCACGUGGGUUUGCCAGCUCGAAGGUGCACGCGUAUUGCUGGCACUCGGCGUCUGCAUUCCCGGAAGCAGCAAGGGCCGCGCCAGCCGCCCCAGCAGCCGAACAGACUCCUGCCUCAGGAGGGCGGAGCACGUUUCUGCCGCAAAGCCCCACCCACACGAGCUUACGUGUCAUUGGCCAGAACUGUCACGUGGUCCUCCCUGCGGCACCGGAAGGGGUGAAAGGCGGGCUUGGCUUCUCCAACCGCGGAAGGACGGCGAGGGACUGUCGCGUCGGUCCGGCAGCACCGGGGCCAUUGUUGGUGGCCACUCCUGCUUUGCCCAGCCACCACCCCCUGAGCAGCAGGCCCCUGGUGGAUUCUGAGUCUGCAACAUCCUCCCCGCCUCGGCCGCCUGGCGACCCCGACCCUGGUGCAGUGCCUUCCCUGCCCCAGGCCCCAGCCAGCCCUAGCUGCUCCGAGGCAUCCGGGCGACUUCCCCGCGGCCUCAUGCUGGGACAGCAGGCGCUCCUGCCACGAGGGCCCUCGUUAGCUGUCUCUUUGAAGAGCCCAGUGCCCUUGUUCUCCUUCAGGACGCGGAGGGAAAAGAGGGUCCCUAAUGCCAUCUGGACCGUCGUGGAGAGUCACUCUCAUGUGCCUUCCAUCCAGGCAGUGCCUCCAGGGCCAGGCCUUCACGACCCCGAACCACCUGUAUCCACCCUAUUCAGGAUUCUCCAUCAUCUCCUGCUGGGUGCUCUGAGGACACAGCCUGUGCAGAAACAGAACCAGGCAACACUACCCAGGAGCAUUUGGUGGGUGCUGGGGAAGUACUUCCCCACGAUGCUAAUGAUGGCAACUUGGCGCUGAGAAGCUCGUUAGCAAAAGCAUUGAAGACGCCUGCCAUAGCUUUCAAAUGCUGACAAUCCGUAAAUUGAAAUUAACAACGAAUAAAAAGAUAAGGAAAGCGCA
rnacentral:lncRNA from 1 species